GCUUCAGCAACUUACUUUGGGUUCAGAACAAUGUAUGUGAUGUUGUCCGCAUUUAUUUAUUUAACACAGGCAGAUGUGGUCUCGUGGGAUUCCCGAAAGGCAUAAUAAUAUAAGUAGUUUGAGUACUCAAUCAUUUUUGUACUAUUUUUGUUGUGGCAAAUAUUAUAGGCAUAUAUAAUACGGUGGCAAUGAACCGAUCACGCUGGGAACGUAUAGAGAGGCCUAUGUCCAGCAUAGGCUGUAGGCUGAGAUCAUGAUGAUGAUGAUAAUAUGGUGGAGAAAAAAGCAAAUAAUUUUUUAUUAUUGUUUGAUUUAAUUGCGCAAUCUUGUAAAAUAUAAUAGAUACUUAACUAAGAGAUGUCCUAAAACAAUUACGUCUUGGCGUGGCACUACUGUGUCUCCACAUUACUCUUACCAUUCUACUUGAAAUUGACACAGACUGCAUGACACAAAUGGAUGGGACAUUUUCAAGUGUGCAAUGUUUUUCACAAGUGAAACAUCCGGUAAUGAUAUCCAAUAUUGAUGAAGAAAGUACCUACCUACAAGAUUUAGUUUUUAUAAUGCUUACAAGUUUUUGCAAAAUGUAUAUAUCGCAAUUUUUACCACUACUAUUAUUAAUUAUAUUGUAUUUUUAUCUAAUCAAGCUGAUUAUUUGUAAUACUAGGGACAUACGUCACAAAUAUCAAAACACAAUAAAAAAGAUAUAGCACAUAACUACAAGAAUUAGUUAUAUUAUAUAGUUAUAAUAUAUCCUAUUUUAAUCUAAUUCAGCUGAUUAUAAUUAAUUCACUUCCGUGAUAAAAACCUUAGGUAGGUAUGUACGUCACCAAUGAAUAUCCUCGCAUGCUCAUAUACAUAUACAUACUCAUGUAUUGUCAUUGUAAUAACAGUUUUUCCCAAAAUUAGUGAUCCAAUCAUAAUAGGAAAAAAUUACGAGUUGUAAAAUACACAUUUUAUUAUAGGACAUAGAAUAUAAUAUGUCAAUAUAAUUGCGUAGUGGUUUUUAAAAUUGUGAUGAUGAUCUGGUACAGGCCAUAGCGUCUGCUUUGCUCCUGAAAUUAAUCUGUAAUAAUAAAAGUGAUAUGAAAAACAGUUAACACAAAAAACAAACAAACCUGAAAGAUAUUACAAAAGCAUAAUCGCGAAACGGUUUUCUUUAUCUGUCGAGAUUUCCUGCCAAGUUUUAGAGUGCAUUGCAUCUAGAUGCGCAUAAUUUUAACACGUUUCCUAUCUUUGUGUUCCCGUUAAUAGAAAUGCAUUUUACAUCAUUUCCCGUUCUGGUUCAUGUUUUUUCAAGUAAUUCUUAUUGUUGUUUAUCUUUAUAAAGUAUUUUUGGAUUGAUAAUGACUAAAAUUUUUAGGGCCUCUUACAAUUAUGAUAGAGAGAAGCCUCUCUGCACGUGCUUAUAAUAAAUCACUAUUUAAACGUUCCAGUAAUGACUCUAGUUGCACGGUUCCAAGACCUUUUUUCUAUGAAAAAGAACCUCCUAUACACUAAACUCUCUAAAGCUCACAAUUGGUGCAAUUGUACGUAACAGACACAGUGAAUCAUAGAAGUCUUUUGGGUUCGAGAUUAGAUUGGAUUGGAGAUCAGCUUUAUUUUUUGAUGAGGUUAGUCAGACUAAGACACAUUAGUAUCUUUAAAGGCACAAAAAGAAAAAAAAUCGGUUUACUAUCCAUCCGCCAUCAAUUUACGAUCCUAUCGCUAAUACUUGUAUUGUGGACACAAACGUUUUAAAACCAGUGAUUUCUUACAAUCCCCGCCGAAGGAAGCGGUCAUUUAAAGCAACUAUUUUAAUACGUCGCCUCGCGGCCGCCGGCGUAGGUGACAGUACGGGAUCCUACCAGUACCUGAUGAAGUAAGACUCCUGCAGUUGAGAAAGCGAGACGGAGUUACGUACUGUAGAGCGGCUUCUCCCUCACACAGCUGCGACUAUCUUAGUAUAUGGGAUCGUGGUAGGUCUCCAGGACCUCAGAGGUCCAGGCUAAUAUUAGAAUAAUGUAACACUACACGUUCUCCUGCCUGGAAUAUUCCCUUGUUGUCGUAACAAGGAAAUCUUGAUGAAGUCUCCGAGAAGUGUUUUGUUUAUUUGUUCAUAUUAUUCACAGGUACGUAACGUAAGAUCUGAGUCAAUUGGAUUUAAAAAACCUGCUUUGGUCUAAAAGUUAGCUUUACCUCUUGUUGUGAGUGAUGGUAAGAGCAGUCCAUACGAUACCAUGUUCGUGCCAAACCGUUGCCAAAAGCACUUUGGCAAGAACUUUUUUUGGACGGUUUAUUAUGGAUUGGCGAUAAUUACACCUACCACCUAAUUGUAUGUUGCGGAAACCAACAAAAACUGUCAGUGAUGAAACAAGUAUGACAGCAAGAUAAGCUAACGACGAGAACAUUUGACAAACAGGUAAGAAAGAUUAGAAAAGAUAAGUCCUCAUUAAAGUUUUCUCUAACGCUUGCCCUAACGAAAAUUAUAAUUAUGAAGAUCGCAGUGUGUUAUUUCUUAAACGAUCUCUGUAAUAGUUACCAUUUGUGUCCAAUUUGAAUGAAUGGCAAUUCAGCAGACGUUGCAAAUUCCGGUGUUUGGUGGAGAUGUUCCUGAAAAAGGGUUAUUCAUCCGAAGCAGUUUAUUUGUUUCGACUCAACCACGCUUCUUAAUAUAAAAAAAAGUGUCUGCAGACGGACAGACGGUCGAUGGAGCAGACACGUGUUGGAGUGGAGACCACGU